ACGCUGGCGGCAGGCUUAACACAUGCAAGUCGAGCGGGCAUAGCAAUAUGUCAGCGGCAGACGGGUGAGUAACGCGUGGGAACGUACCUUUUGGUUCGGAACAACACAGGGAAACUUGUGCUAAUACCGGAUAAGCCCUUACGGGGAAAGAUUUAUCGCCGAAAGAUCGGCCCGCGUCUGAUUAGCUAGUUGGUGAGGUAAUGGCUCACCAAGGCGACGAUCAGUAGCUGGUCUGAGAGGAUGAUCAGCCACAUUGGGACUGAGACACGGCCCAAACUCCUACGGGAGGCAGCAGUGGGGAAUAUUGGACAAUGGGCGCAAGCCUGAUCCAGCCAUGCCGCGUGAGUGAUGAAGGCCCUAGGGUUGUAAAGCUCUUUUGUGCGGGAAGAUAAUGACGGUACCGCAAGAAUAAGCCCCGGCUAACUUCGUGCCAGCAGCCGCGGUAAUACGAAGGGGGCUAGCGUUGCUCGGAAUCACUGGGCGUAAAGGGUGCGUAGGCGGGUCUUUAAGUCAGGGGUGAAAUCCUGGAGCUCAACUCCAGAACUGCCUUUGAUACUGAAGAUCUUGAGUUCGGGAGAGGUGAGUGGAAC
rnacentral:rRNA from 1 species